GUUGAUGUUCCUAAACUCCACGCAUGCCAAGGUGUUCUUCUCAGACUCUCAAGCAAACACGGCCGAAAUCGUUCUCGCCCUCGCAAAGAAAGAGUCCCAAAAGGGUAUGGCGCUUGCGUCGCCCGAAUGCCUUCAGCGCAAGAAUCACCUCAUGCAAUUCUACCUCGCAUUUCCAAAGGUCAGC